rnacentral:rRNA from 1 species
UACGGAGGGUGCAAGCGUUAUCCGGAUUCACUGGGCGUAAAGGGUGCGUAGGCGGGUUUUUAAGUCAGGGGUGAAAUCCUGGAGCUCAACUCCAGAACUGCCUUUGAUACUGAAGAUCUUGAGUCCGGGAGAGGUGAGUGGAACUGCGAGUGUAGAGGUGAAAUUCGUAGAUAUUCGCAAGAACACCAGUGGCGAAGGCGGCUCACUGGCCCGGUACUGACGCCGCGGCACGAAAGCGUGGGGAGCAAACAGG